GCUGCCCUCCGCUCCAUCCCUGCAGCGCAGACCUCCGCCACCGUCACCGCCCUUCCUCACCGCGCAAUCACCGCCCUUCCCCACGCGCCUCGGUCGCCAUCCGCGGCAUCACCUUCCUUCCCCAUGCGUCGAGGCCGUCAUCCGCGCCAUCACCUUCCUUCCCCACACGCGCGCCCCCUCCUCCGACGUCGCCAAAUUCCAUCCAUCUCUCAGCGCCGUGGUCUCCCGAUGUGGAUGGGGGAAGGAGGAAUUAACCGAGAGCUUGCUGCCGCAAAGAAGAUUUCUCACAUCUGAGAUCGGGAGAAGAAAGCAUUUUCAAGGAGAAUAGCCGAUCUGUUGAUGUGCUUGGCCUUAAGACUGCUUUUGCAACCUUCAUGGGUUCCAGAGAAGAAAGCGAGGGAAUGGUGCGCCUCCAAGGGCGAUAUUCCAUACUUCGAGACCUCUGCGAAGGAGGACCACAACGUCGACACUGCUUUCCUAUGCAUCGCUAGGCUCGCUUUGGAGCAUGAGCAUGACCAAGACAUUUACUUCAAGACAGUUGUGGAACAAGUCCCGGACACUGAACAGACAAGCGGAUGUGCUUGCU